rnacentral:rRNA from 1 species
UCGUCAGCUCGUGCCGUUGAGGUGUUGGGUUAAGUCCCGCAACGAGCGCAACCCUACUUGCCCAGUUGCUACCAGGUAAUGCUGGGCACUCUGGUGAGACUGCCCCGGUUAACGGGGAGGAAGGUGGGGACGACGUCAAGUCAUCAUGGCCCUUACGCCUAGGGCUACACACGUACUACAAUGGCGCAUACAAAGGGCAGCGAUACCGCGAGGUGGAGCCAAUCCCAAAAAGUGCGUCCCAGUCCGGAUUGCAGUCUGCAACUCGACUGCAUGAAGUUGGAAUCGCUAGUAAUUCGAGAUCAGCAUGCUCGGGUGAAUGCGUUCCCGGGCCUC